rnacentral:rRNA from 1 species
GUGGUAGCAGCAGUGGGGAAUCUUGGACAAUGUGUUAACACACGAUCCAGCAAUAUCUAGAGACUAUGAAGGUUUGAGAGAACUGAAAGGUUUAGAAUAAUAAAGAACAAGGUAUUUCUUGACUUACUUUUAUUAUGUAAGCUCCGACAAUUUCGUGCCAGCAGUCGCGGUAAGACGAGAGGAGCAAGUGUUAUUCGUGCUGAUUGGGCGUAAAGGGUAUGUAGACGGUUAAAUAAGUUUAAAGUUAAAAACAAUGAGCUUAACUCUUGAGAAGCUUUUUAAUACUAUUUAACUUUGAGUAUAUUAGAAAAUAGUGGGAUUUUUUAGAGGAAAGGUAAAAUUUUAAUGAUUUUAAGGAGACGAAGCUUGCGAAGGCGACUUUUUAUAAUAUACUGACGUUGAGAUACAAAAGUAUAGGGAGUC